GACAGAGCAAAAAAAACAAGGCAUCAGUAUUGUUGAGUAUUAGCUUGUACCUGGUUCGGAGGCUAAAUUCCAGGUCAGCCUAUGGGGCACUGUGGUGAGUGGGUCGUACGGCUGAGGCGGGGGACACCAGCGACUAUGAGAGCGCUGUUUGUAUUCACGCCGUGCGGGCUGGGUGUGCAAGUUCGUCCCCUCAUUGGGCGCAGGAGAAGCGGCGCACGGGAACUCACCAAUCCUGCCCUUGUUGCAGUCCCCUAGAGUUGCGUUGGGGGCCUCAUCCUCAGUACAGCUCAGCCCCAGUUCGAGAACUCCCUGGACCUGGGCUCAGCCAAGCUGCCCAGAACCCGCCCGGCCUUCUCUAGCCCACCACCUUCCCCGGUGCACAGCAUCGGAAAAUGCCAGCAGACCAGCUAUUAGACUCAUCCCGACCUAACAGCGCUAACAGAUGGCGACCAGGCAGCGAAAUCCCCUCCUAUAUGUAACUAAUAAACCGCUUGUGUCUUAACAGG
rnacentral:lncRNA from 1 species